GUCCUGAAGCAAGCAUCCAACAGUAAAAGACCUCCCAAUUCCCAUGGACGCCGGAACAGCAGCUGCCGCCGUCUCUUGCGAGAAGGCCAGUCGUCCCUGGUUGUUUUCGCGGCGGAUAUUUGAGGUUUGGCGCGCUUACCAGCACCUACUCGACAAGUGAAAUAUUGGUUUGACUACUUGCUUAUACGUCUGACGGUGAUGCUUCUUUUGGUGACAUAUUGAAAUAUUUGCCGUUUGGAAUGUUAGUAAAAUGUUUUCUUGUAUGAGUUUGAGAAGAGCUGGCCUUGCUGUUGGCAAUCCAAUUAGAUUAUUCUCCUUUGGUUGUUCCUAGUGACGCUACAAGCUUAUGGCAUAGCUAGAAUGUAAGUUGCUUAAUUUUCAAAAGAACAGGAUUAAUCUUCA